GAUCAUGGCUCAGGAUGAACGUUGGCGGCGUGCCUAACACAUGCAAGUCGAGCGAUUUACUUCGGUAAAGAGCGGCGGACGGGUGAGUAACGCGUGGGUAACCUGCCCUGUACACACGGAUAACAUACCGAAAGGUAUGCUAAUACGAGAUAACAUGAGAGAGUCGCAUGGCUUUCUUAUCAAAGCUUUUGCGGUACAGGAUGGACCCGCGUCUGAUUAGCUAGUUGGUAAGGUAACGGCUU
rnacentral:rRNA from 1 species